UCUUCUUCUUCCUCCCCCGAGUCCUGACCUACCCUACCCCCGCCCCGCCCCGCCCUGCCCCUCCCAAGCAAGCUCCAAUCCCGGCCCGAUGCGCCUCCGGCGCCCCCGCCCCGCGCCGCGCCCUCGAGCUAGCUCCCCGCAGCUUGUCACCGCUGCCGCCUCUCGCCACGCGCGUCGCGGCCAUCGGCCUCAUCGCGCGGGUCGCUUGCUGCCUCGGCCCCCGCUGGCAAUCUCGGCCGGCCGUCCGUCGGUGAGCUUCCUCUAGUCCGGCGAUUGGACGAGCUCAGCCGACCCCUCCGCGAAUUCUGGCUGCGCUGGUUUGAUGCACGCGCGCCGUCUUGAUCCGCCCCUGCUUCGAGCUCGGAGUUCGUAUUUCGGCCCGGCGGAUUCUAGGGUUCCAUGCUUGCGUUCCGAAUUGGGGUGUGUGCUGAUUAUCCCCUCGAUGUUUUCACCGGCUUCGGAAUCUGGCAGGUGCUGGAAAGGCGAUGCGCGCCCUCGUGUUCUUGGUGCUCGUUAGGUGCAUUGGUGGCCGGCUGCUCUUUUCAGAUUUCAUGUUUGUUGCACACCUGUCCUGUUAAUCGAUAACCCAAGGAAGCUCUUUUUGUAGCGUAAAUAAGGUUUAUAAUUUCAAGCAUCAAGACAAGCUUUAACUUAUUAUCCAAUAAACUUGUGAGCAGCAGAUGAUUAACAGAUCAGAGAGGAUUACUUCAAGGGAAUAGAA